CAGCUAUUCCCUCCGUCAGAAAAUACUCGUCAUUAAAAUGAAUAAAAAAAAUAUCUAAAACAUAUAUACAUCUAGAUACAUUCUUUUUUAUUUAUUUUGAUGGUAAGUAUUUUCGGACGGAGGUAGUAACUA
rfam:Triticum aestivum genome assembly, contig: Triticum_aestivum_CS42_TGACv1_scaffold_592938_7BS